GUAUGUGCGGGUCAUUCUUGUGUCUCCCCUGCGACUUGUUACAAUAACAACGGGUCACCUGGUUGUUUCUGUCCACCUGGAUACGACUUGCUGGCGGAUAGUGUGACUUGUAACGAUAUUGACGAGUGCAGUGGCAGUAAUUUGUGCAGUGCAAACAGCACGUGUCAAAACACUCUUGGAGGAUACGAGUGUGCAUGUGCAGUAGGAUUUAAGCGUGAGAGUGACAUGCGCACAUGUACUGCAUGUGACGGCAUCCACUGGGGCACCAACUGCGCUAACACGUGCAGUUGUGGGUCUCGUGCAAACACCUGUGACCGGGUUGUAGGGUGUACCGACUGCGUGGCCGGCUGGGAGGGGGCGAACUGUGAGAACGACGUGGACGAGUGCGCGCAGAACACCACCAUCUGUGGUGCCAACGCCAUCUGCAAUAACACCAGGGGAUCGUACACGUGCGCAUGCGAAA